CUACCAAGCUUGAUUUUUUUUACCCUAAAUUCGUCCACCAACAGCCACCUGCUGCUGCUACGGAUGAUAAUGCUUCUUCAAUACUGGAUGGAGUGGAUGUUACUGGAUACCCUGUAUUUAAUGACCCAAAGGUGCACAAGGCAAUUGCAUUUGCAAGGAAAGCUCAUCAUGGCCAGCUUCGCAAAACAGGAGACCCAUAUCUAACCCACUGUAUCAAUACUGCAAAAUUUUAGCUGUGCUAGUUCCCGCAUCCGGCAAAAAGGCUAUUGAUACAGUCAUUUCUGGCAUACUACAUGAUGUAGUUGAUGAUACAGGUGAAAGCUUGUACAACAUAGAGACAGAGUUUGGUGAAGAUAUAGCAAAACUGGUA